AGAGUUUGAUCCUGGCUCAGGAUGAACGCUGGCGGUCUGCUUAACACAUGCAAGUCGAACGGGCUCUUCGGAGCUAGUGGCGGACGGGUGAGUAACGCGUGAGAAUCUGCCUUCAGGAGGGGGAUAACGACUGGAAACGGUCGCUAAUACCCCAUAUGCCUCCGGGUGAAAAGUAAUUCGCCUGAAGAUGAGCUCGCGUCAGAUUAGCUAGUUGGUGGGGUAAGAGCCUACCAAGGCGACGAUCUGUAGCUGGUCUGAGAGGAUGAUCAGCCACACUGGGACUGAGACACGGCCCAGACUCCUACGGGAGGCAGCGGUGGGGAAUUUUCCGCAAUGGGCGCAAGCCUGACGGAGCAAGACCGCGUGGGGGAUGACGGCCUAAUGGUUGUAAACCCCUUUUCUCUGGGAAGAAGACUGACGGUACCAGAGGAAUCAGCCUCGGCUAACUCCGUGCCAGCAGCCGCGGUAAUACGGAGGAGGCAAGCGUUAUCCGGAAUUAUUGGGCGUAAAGCGUCCGUAGGUGGUUAUUCAAGUCUGCUGUCAAAGCGUGGGGCUUAACUCCAUAGAGGCAGUGGAAACUGAGUGACUAGAGUGCGGUAGGGGUCGAGGGAAUUCCC
rnacentral:rRNA from 1 species